ACCAAAAUCAUAAAGAUUGAAAAAAUAAUCGAGGAUCGGAUUGCCAACGCCAAGUAAGAGGCCGAGAGAUGAAUUACUGAGGCCUGUUGAUCGACAGUGGAGGCUUUUAAGGCAUUGGAGGAUUUUGCAUAGGAGAAGGCUUAGGUGGUUGAGAACUUUAAGCUAUCAGAGGAAUUUCAUGAUACCAAGAUUGUGUUCAGUCAGGAGGCCUUUAAUAUGGGGCACGAGACUAGAUAUGAGGACUACUGCCAUCGAGUUGCUGCUUGCUCUCUAAAGUUGAUCUCUCCUUCUUAGAUGAGGAUGAGGGGGAAGAGGAAACUGAAGGGUAGUCCAUUCUCCCUGAGUCUAUGGUCAUCGAAGGACUAUCCGAGAGUGAAAGGAUGGUGGUGGAGGUCUUCUCGUUGCCCACCAUCGAUAUUUUAAUUUUGAGGAUGACUCCUUCAACUGAAGCACCCUCGGGUCCAUCAGAAGCUGCACCAAGCUCUCUCGAUUUUUAGGAUGAGGUCAGAAGAUGAGAUGCCUUAUCCCUAUAUUUUUUCUUUCUUUUUGUUCUUGUAAAAAAAAAUUCAUCAAUGAAAUGAAUUUUUACUCCUUUCUAAAUUCACAUUGUUCUUCAUAUGUUUGUUUAGUCAUGCUAGUGUGUCCUUGGUGGUUAUAUCCCUUCAGUUCUUGUUGAUGAGUCUUUGCUGACAGCUUCUGCUGCACAAAUUAGGUCUUGCAUAAGUGACUUGGAAAGGAAGGUCAAGAAGUUAAAUAAGAAAGCUGCUUUCCAGAAGGAGCUGUC
rnacentral:lncRNA from 1 species